GGGGUCGUUUAAGGAUUCGACAGGCAUUGUUUGAGCUUUAAUUGCGUUUUGAAGGUUACGUCUUCAUUAAAAACGUUACAGUUAAAUAUAACUGCUAAAAAAGAAGAAAUUUUCGCUUUAGCUGCCUAAAAAACAGAUAAGCGAGAUCUGCUUUUCAUCGCCCAUGUGAAAAUGUCAGGUCUUAAUUAAGUGGGCUUACGCUAAGCAUUUUUGUCUUAAGUGUUUAGAAGAGAUUAUCAGACUAGCAAAGUAGAUGUUGUUGUGUGAUAUUCUAUUUUGCGAAAUUAAAAUCACACAACUAUAAACGUAGAGAUUAAAGUGUCAAGGUGUUUGGACAGGGGUUCAAAUCCCCUCGGCUCCAUUU
rnacentral:tmRNA from 1 species